AUUGAACGCUGGCGGCAUGCCUUACACAUGCAAGUGGAACGGCAGCACGGGAGCAAUCCUGGUGGCGAGUGGCGAACGGGUGAGUAAUAUAUCGGAACGUGCCCAGUCGUGGGGGAUAACGCAGCGAAAGCUGUGCUAAUACCGCAUACGAUCUAUGGAUGAAAGCGGGGGAUCGCAAGACCUCGCGCGAUUGGAGCGGCCGAUAUCAGAUUAGCCAGUUGGUGGGGUAAAGGCCCACCAAGGCGACGAUCUGUAGCUGGUCUGAGAGGACGACCAGCCAAACUGGAACUGAGACGCGGUCCAGACUCCUACGGGAGGGAGCAGUGGGGAAUUUUGGACAAUGGGCGCAAGCCUGAUCCAGCAAUGCCGCGUGCAGGAUGAAGGCCUUCGGGUUGUAAACUGCUUUUGUACGGAACGAAACGGUCUGCCCUAAUACGGUGGGCUAAUGACGGUACCGUAAGAAUAAGCACCGGCUAACUACGUGCCAGCCGCCGCUGUAA
rnacentral:rRNA from 1 species